UGCACAUCCCUGAUCCUGUCGAGGUAGAGAUGAAAAUGUGCCUUGUCUAAUGUCUUUGAGAUCUGGAUCUCCUUGAAGUGUGAUAGAUGGAUGACUUUUGACCACAAGUGUAUGUCUGCUGACCUCUUGCAGAAGUGAAUGACACCUAAUUAAUCCAAUCACAACAAACUGAGGGAACAAGGAAAGCGUGGCCCUAGUUGUUGAAUGCUGAGGUACAAAAGGCCUCCUGACAGUUAAAUGACGAAACAAUACCAUGGCCGAUCUCUUAAGUGUUUUAAAAAGAGAAGCCAUAUGCUGUUAAGACACUUCUUUCACAAAAAGAGAAGGAUUCAUCUGAUUAUUAGUAUGGAGAUAAAUGGGCUGCCGAUGAAAACAGAGAGAGGGAGAGAGAGAGAAAAGGGGAGAGGAGAAAAACAGGAGAAACUUCUGCAGAAUAUUUAUGCUGACUUUAUCUCCGUCUGUGUGGCAGCCCUUGAAAGUGGA